rnacentral:rRNA from 1 species
CCUGGCUCAGGAUGAACGCUAGCUACAGGCUUAACACAUGCAAGUCGAGGGGCAGCAUGGUCUUAGCUUGCUAAGGCCGAUGGCGACCGGCGCACGGGUGAGUAACACGUAUCCAACCUGCCGUCUACUCUUGGACAGCCUUCUGAAAGGAAGAUUAAUACAAGAUGGCAUCAUGAGUCCGCAUGUUCACAUGAUUAAAGGUAUUCCGGUAGACGAUGGGGAUGCGUUCCAUUAGAUAGUAGGCGGGGUAACGGCCCACCUAGUCUUCGAUGGAUAGGGGUUCUGAGAGGAAGGUCCCCCACAUUGGAACUGAGACACGGUCCAAACUCCUACGGGAGGCAGCAGUGAGGAAUAUUGGUCAAUGGGCGAGAGCCUGAACCAGCCAAGUAGCGUGAAGGAUGACUGCCCUAUGGGUUGUAAACUUCUUUUAUAAAGGAAUAAAGUCGGGUAUGGAUACCCGUUUGCAUGUACUUUAUGAAUAAGGAUCGGCUAACUCCGUGCCAGCAGCCGCGGUAAUACGGAGGAUCCGAGCGUUAUCCGGAUUUAUUGGGUUUAAAGGGAGCGUAGAUGGAUGUUUAAGUCAGUUGUGAAAGUUUGCGGCUCAACCGUAAAAUUGCAGUUGAUACUGGAUAUCUUGAGUGCAGUUGAGGCAGGCGGAAUUCGUGGUGUAGCGGUGAAAUGCUUAGAUAUCACGAAGAACCCCGAUUGCGAAGGCAGCCUGCUAAGCUGCAACUGACAUUGAGGCUCGAAAGUGUGGGUAUCAAACAGGAUUAGAUACCCUGGUAGUCCACACGGUAAACGAUGAAUACUCGCUGUUUGCGAUAUACUGCAAGCGGCCAAGCGAAAGCGUUAAGUAUUCCACCUGGGGAGUACGCCGGCAACGGUGAAACUCAAAGGAAUUGACGGGGGCCCGCACAAGCGGAGGAACAUGUGGUUUAAUUCGAUGAUACGCGAGGAACCUUACCCGGGCUUAAAUUGCAGAUGAAUUACGGUGAAAGCCGUAAGCCGCAAGGCAUCUGUGAAGGUGCUGCAUGGUUGUCGUCAGCUCGUGCCGUGAGGUGUCGGCUUAAGUGCCAUAACGAGCGCAACCCUUGUUGUCAGUUACUAACAGGUUCCGCUGAGGACUCUGACAAGACUGCCAUCGUAAGAUGUGAGGAAGGUGGGGAUGACGUCAAAUCAGCACGGCCCUUACGUCCGGGGCUACACACGUGUUACAAUGGGGGGUACAGAGGGCCGCUACCACGCGAGUGGAUGCCAAUCCCCAAAACCUCUCUCAGUUCGGACUGGAGUCUGCAACCCGACUCCACGAAGCUGGAUUCGCUAGUAAUCGCGCAUCAGCCACGGCGCGGUGAAUACGUUCCCGGGCCUUGUACACACCGCC